rnacentral:rRNA from 1 species
CCGCUUUGGGAGGGGCCCGUGGCCCAUUAGCUUGUUGGUGAGGUAACGGCUCACCAAGGCUGCGAUGGGUAGCUGGUCUAAGAGGACGGUCAGCCACACUGGGACUGAGACACGGCCCAG